ensembl:lncRNA
GGGAAGGAGAAAACACUGCAAGGAGAGGUUAGACCAGCUCCAUGAGAGGCGGGACAGUACCUGGCCUUAAAAGGCUCUAGUGAUACCAGCGAAUAUUAGCAAACUCUGAUCCAGUCUCUUGUUGCCUAUCUUCUGAGAUUUAACAUCAGCUGCCUCUUCUGGAAAUGGGUCACAUCACUGGAUGUCAUCCAGACUGGAAGAAAUGAAGCAGAUCGACAGUUUUUAUUGCCCCUGUUGACCAAGGACAAGGAUGUUUCAGAGGUUUGCUGGAGAAAAACAUAUCAGUUUGGGAGGAUGGUGUGGGAGGAAUGUUUGGUUCUGAGAAGUCUAUGAGCUGUUUUGGAAAUCAGUCUGACAGACGAUUGCUAAAGCAGUGUGUAGCCAAGAUGUGGAAACUGGGAACCACAGAGCAAAGGAACUGAUCACAUUUUCUAAAAACAUUUGGCCUGUGAUCCAAGACUGACUGAAAUAUUUCAAGGCACAUUUUUCUAGAUAUUCCAGAAAAAAAAAAAAUGCAAAAUUCUCUUUUAUUCUAAAAUCCAGUCAUUCAUAUUGCCUGGAAGUCUUUUCUUAUAUUUCUCUCAAAUUUCUCAUGUUUAUUUGUGACAAAAAAUUUACUUUAUGGCGAACUGCCUUAGAUGUCAAAUAUUCUGAGACAGGACCUGGAGACCCUAACUCUGGUCAGAGACAAAUCUCUGGCCGCCAUCGUGGGCCUUCAUUUUUAACCAUUUGCCCAGGUGGCACAGUGGUAAAGAAUCGCCUGCCAAAACGGAAGAUGCAAGAAACGUGGGUUCAAUCCUUGGAUGGGGAAGAUACCCUGGAGUAAGAAAUAGCAACCCACUCCAGUAUUCUUGCCUGGAAAAUUCCAUGGAUAGAUGAGCUUGACAGGCUGCAGUCCAUGGGGUCGCAAAGAGUUGGACAUUACUAAGCCACUAAGCAC